rnacentral:sRNA from 1 species
UUCCCCGUUCGAUGUAUUAUUUGAUGUUGUUGUGUUGACGGCUCGGCAAAGCCGUGAGUUGAAUCGUUCUAAAUCAAUCUAGCACACAAUCUUUCAAUUCAACUGAGAGCGGGUUUUUUG